UGCAGCUUUGUAGGAUCCCUAAUGCCAGCUGCUGCAAUGAGUUUCCAGGAUUCAGAUGCCCUAACUCUCCAGAGAAUGGAUAGCUUGCACGGCCCGUCUAAGGGUUCAGGAUGUUCCGCUAAUUAGCAGUCAGGUUUUGGGGGCCAAGAAUUGAGAACAAUCUUGAAUCUUGAAUUCUACAGGAGGUGAAAACAUUUUGCCAACCUUCAUCUGCAGUGAUCAUAUUGAAUGCCAGACAGCAACUGUAUUAUUGCCAUGAGCAAGUGAUAAGGUACAGCUGAGUACAAAUAAAGGCAGAAAACACAUUGUGCCCCCUAACAGCAGGGAAGCAAGUUAGCAUUAAUCCAUUGUGUUAGGAAAUGCAUCUCCAAAUUGGAAGGGAAAAUAAUUUGCAAUAUAUGCCUUUAUAAAUGAUCUUAACAUAUGAAUUCAUACAAAUUCAUCAUAAAGAAAGUAUUUUGGGCACAGACAAUUGGAGGGAGAGAUUCAGAAAUGUGGCUGACAACCAGAAGAAUGUGAACAGAAGAAGAAGGAGAAGUUAUUUAGCACAUUGCAUGUGAUAUUCAGUGGCAGAAAUGACAAAGACCUCUUUAGAACGUAGAAAUCUACAGCACAUAACAGGUUCUUCAGCUCACAAUAAUGUGCUGACCAUGUAACCUACUUCAGAAACUGUCUGGAAUUUCCUUACCACAUAGCCCUCUACUUUCCUAAACUCCAUGUACCUAUCUAAGAGUCUCUUAAAACACCCUAUUUUAUCUGCCUCCACCACCAUUGCUGGCUAUCCACACGAGCAAUGCCUCUCAUCAUCUUUGUUACGAGAAUACACAUAAAAUUAAGAUGUUUGCUGGCCUGGGCUAGCAUCAGUGGCAUCAGCAGUUGGUCUGCCACCUGCCCUCAGGGGAAGGAGAGAUAAGGAACAAUGGAGCAGCGUCUGGAGAUGUGUAAUGAAGGGAUGUGGGAGGGAGAGCUGUCUGGAGCGGCUCCCCCCUUUGAACCCUGAACUGUUUGAAGUGAUGGACAGGCGAUACCCCAGCAGGGGGAUAAAAAGGGACAGGUUCGCUAAGACAGACACACACGCCACCCGAGGUAACGAGACCCUGGAAGCGGUGCGCUUCUCACGAGUGGGUGAGAAGUACCAGACAACGACAAGGGUGGAAAGGUACGAUCAGCGGGAACCCGGUGUGUGUCCGCCCUUGCCUGGGUGCCGGGUUCACUGCAGAGGAUCGACCGCAUCUGGAGGAGGGGUCACAGUCGGUGACCUCAGGUGACAUCACCAAGGACCCACCCAAAAGUUGCUCGUGAGCAAUCUCGCUGGUCUGUGAGUGAAGCUGUGCUGAAUGAUGAGUUGUUCUCUCUGUCUCUCUUCCCCCACCUUGUCCAUCGCCAUGGCAACGAUUACUGCGAACUGAACUUUGAGUCAUUUUGAAAUUGGUCAUUUACCCCUAGACAACGAUAGAGCUUGAUUGAUGCUGUUAUCUUA